rnacentral:rRNA from 1 species
UGGACCACUCCUGACACUCAGACGCGAAAGCUAGGGUAGCAAACGGGAUUAGAGACCCCGGUAGUCCUANCCCUAAACGAUGUAGACUUGGCGUCGGUGGUUUAAUCGCCAUCGGUGUCGUAGCUAACGCGAUAAGUCUACCGCCUGGGGACUACGGCCGCAAGGUUAAAACUCAAAGGAAUUGACGGGUCCCCGCACAAGCAGCGGAGCGUGUGGUUUAAUUCGAUGCUACACGAAGAACCUUACCUGGGUUUGACAUAGAGGUAGUAGGGAAGCGAAAGCGGACCGACCCUUCGGGGAGCCUCUACAGGUGUUGCAUGGCUGUCGUCAGCUCGUGUCGUGAGAUGUUCGGUUAAGUCCGCUAACGAGCGCAACCCUCGCUGUGUGUUACAAGUGUCACACGGUACUGCCGAUAUUAAGUCA